AUUUAAAAAUGAUCCACCAAAAUUUUUUAAAUGAAAUUAUUUUAUAUAAAAAUAAAUUAAUCUCUCUUCAAGACGAAAAUUCAAAAUCCCUAAUCCUUUAAUUUUCUUUCUACACUCAUCACUUUUUUUAUUAUUAUUUCUCUUAUCCUUUCAUACAUAUUCUAAAGAAUUUCUACAAUAUGAUGAUUAAUCUUUCAAUACUUUCAAGUGAGUCUCCCUAAUUUUAUAAAAAAAAUCCUAGCUUUAUUGAUUAAUCUCUAGAAAAGUAGGAUUAUGGCUUUUC
rnacentral:lncRNA from 1 species